GCUGGGCACAGUGGCACGUGCCUGUAGUCCCAGCUACUCCGGAGGCUGAGGUGGGAGGAUCGCUUGAGCCCAGGAGUUCUGGGCUGUAGUGCGCUAUGCCGAUCGGGUGUCCGCACUAAGUUCAGCAUCACUAUGGUGACCUCCCAGGAGCGGAGGACCACCAGGUUGCCUAAGGAGGGGUGAACCGGCCCAGGUCGGAAACGGAGCAGGUCAAAACUCCCAUGCUGAUCAGUAGCCGGAUUGCACCUGUGAAUAGCCACUGCACUCCAGCCUGGGCAACAUAGCAAGACCCCAUCUCU
rnacentral:SRP_RNA from 1 species